UACGAAGGGGGCUAGCGUUGCUCGGAAUCACUGGGCGUAAAGCGCACGUAGGCGGAUCUUUAAGUCAGAGGUGAAAUCCCAAGGCUCAACCUUGGAACUGCCUUUGAUACUGGGGAUCUCGAGUCCGGAAGAGGUGAGUGGAACUGCGAGUGUAGAGGUGAAAUUCGUAGAUAUUCGCAAGAACACCAGUGGCGAAGGCGGCUCACUGGUCCGGUACUGACGCUGAGGUGCGAAAGCUAGGGGAGCAAACGGG
rnacentral:rRNA from 1 species